rnacentral:tRNA from 1 species
GGGGUUGUGGCUCAGCAGUAGAGCACUCACCUCCCACGUGGGAGACCCUGGUUCGAUCCUCAGCACCA